GGGUCAGUAGGUUGGUCGUGCCACCGGUACGUACUGGUCUAACUGAUUCCUCCUUCCUGAAGAACCGUAAUGCCAUUAAUUUGGUGUUGCGGGGAAACAGGACUGUUACUUUGAAAAAAUUAGAGUGUUUAAAGCAAGCUAACGCUUGAAUACAUUAGCAUGGAAUAAUGAAAUAGGACGAUCGAUCCUAUUUUGUUGGUUUCUAGGAUUGACGUA
rnacentral:rRNA from 1 species